rnacentral:rRNA from 1 species
CAGCAGCCGCGGUAAUACAGAGGGUGCGAGCGUUAAUUGGAUUUACUGGGCGUAAAGCGUGCGUAGGCGGCUAAUUGAGUCGGAUGUGAAAUCCCCGAGCUUAACUUGGGAAUUGCAUUCGAUACUGGUUAGCUAGAGUGUGGGAGAGGAUGGUAGAAUUCCAGGUGUAGCGGUGAAAUGCGUAGAGAUCUGGAGGAAUACCGAUGGCGAAGGCAGCCAUCUGGCCUAACACUGACGCUGAGGUACGAAAGCAUGGGGAGCAAACAGGAUUAGAUACCCCUGUAGUCCCUGUCUCUUAUAC